AGUGAACGCUGGCGGUAGGCCUAACACAUGCAAGUCGAACGGCAGCACAGUAAGAGCUUGCUCUUACGGGUGGCGAGUGGCGGACGGGUGAGGAAUACAUCGGAAUCUACUUUUUCGGGGGGGAUAACGUAGGGAAACUUACGCUAAUACCGCAUACGACCUACGGGUGAAAGCAGGGGAUCUUCGGACCUUGCGCGAUUGAAUGAGCCGAUGCCGGAUUAGCUAGUUGGCGUGGUAAAGGCCCACCAAGGCGACGAUCCGUAGCUGGUCUGAGAGGAUGAUCAGCCACACUGGAACUGAGACACGGUCCAGACUCCUACGGGAGGCAGCAGUGGGGAAUAUUGGACAAAGGGCGCAAGCAUGAUCCAGCCAUACCGCGUGGGUGAAGAAGGCCUUCGGGUUGUAAAGCCCUUUUGUUGGGAAAGAAAAGCAGCAGGUUAAUACCCCGCUGUUCUGACGGUACCCAAAGAAUAAGCACCGGCUAACUUCGUG
rnacentral:rRNA from 1 species